rnacentral:rRNA from 1 species
CCUACGUGCGGCAGCAGUCGAGAAUCAUUCACAAUGGGGGAAAACCUGAUGGUGCGACGCCGCGUGGGGGAAUGAAGGUCUUCGGAUUGUAAACCCCUGUCAUGUGGGAGCAAAUUAAAAAGAUAGUACCACAAGAGGAAGAGACGGCUAACUCUGUGCCAGCAGCCGCGGUAAUACAGAGGUCUCAAGCGUUGUUCGGAAUCACUGGGCGUAAAGCGUGCGUAGGCUGUUUCGUAAGUCGUGUGUGAAAGGCGCGGGCUCAACCCGCGGACGGCACAUGAUACUGCGAGACUAGAGUAAUGGAGGGGGAACCGGAAUUCUCGGUGUAGCAGUGAAAUGCGUAGAUAUCGAGAGGAACACUCGUGGCGAAGGCGGGUUCCUGGACAUUAACUGACGCUGAGGCACGAAGGCCAGGGGAGCGAAAGGGAUUAGAUACCCGAGUAGUC